UCAGAGGUGACUGAAGUCCUCACUUGAAAGACUUCUCUACAUGCAAUGAGAUCUGGAUAUCACCACAUCCAAGGAGGGGACUGUUCUAAGUUUCAACACUCUAGUUAUGUUGGCACUCUCCUGUCCCCUCAUGACAUUAAAGGCACACCUGUAUCAGUGGUUCCCCCUGAAAAUGGAAUAAAAAACAACAUGAUAGCCAUUCAACUUCCUGGAGAGCUUAGAGUAGCUCAUGGCUCAGCUCAGUUGCAGCAAGGCUAUGCACAUUCCAAACAACAUUUUAAGAGACUCCACCGCCAUCCAAAGUCACAGUCAAGCAUACUAGACUGUGAAUUCCAGCCCCUUAUACCUGGGGAUAGUGCAUGUUACUCUCAGGGCAGUCGCAUCCAAAUAAGCCGAGAGGAAAAUGGUAAUCUUUUUUCAUCAACACAUGUCUCUGGUUAUUUGGGGAAUAUUGCUAAAUCUGUUUAUAACACUUCCUAUCAGCAGCAGGACUGCUCUCGCUCUGUAAGCAGAGACAAAGUCUUGCCAGUUGAAGAAUUGGAACCACCUACAGAUGAAGAAAUACAUGACUAUGUUGCAAAACGCGUCGCAUAUUUUCGGACUAUAUCAACACAUGUACCUUCCAAAAAGCUGUGCAACAGGGACUCUCCACUGCAGUCUGACCACAUCUCACCAAAGGUUGACUGUUUUUCCCAUCUCCCCAAAACCUCUGACGGUGAAGACAUGGGGAGGCAAACUCUCAGCAACGCUGUAAAUGAGGAGUGCACUGCAGCAGUUGGACCAGCACUUGAAGAGGACAAUUCAAAGGGCAGCAAAGCAUUUGCUGUGUUAAGGCCCAAGUCUAAAGGGAUCGACGAUUGCUCUGCAUCUGCGUCAGAGAAACAUUCAAAAGAACAUCCACGAAAAAUGAAGAAGGUUCCUGCCCCUUGCACAAGGGAAGAAGAUGGAAGGCCAGUGGUAGCCGCAGCAGUGCCUGAAAUGACCUGUGAAGAAAUGACUGAGAAGCAAUCCAGUUUGAUUUUCAACGGUAGCCCGUCAGAAAAACAGAAGUCCUUUUCGUUAAAUAUUAAAACAAAUUUUGGAGACAAAAGCCAACUGCCUGAUGUUUCUAGGGCUCCCAAACACACCAUGGAGAGGGAGACCGGCAAAGUGGCUCUAAAACCAGUGGAGGCAGUUGGGUUGGACAGUCUGCGCGAUAUGAACGACGUCUCAGGGGAUCCUCAAAUCAAGCUAACUUCAGUGCUAUCUGAAAACAAAGCUUUUGGACAAGCAUCACUCAUUGAAAAUCAACAAUGCACCACGCUAUAUUCAGCUGUUGAUGCACUUAAAAUUCAUAAUGUAUGGUCAAUUCCUACAAACCAAAGUGAAGGGCAUAGCAGCCAAACAAGUUAUGAAGGUCCAAGAAAGGAUGCAGGUUCUACGCGCUCACAAACUGAUUCAAGCAUAGCCCUUUCAGAAAACAAAGUUGAUUACUUUCCUACAGCUUCUGAAGACGUUAUGAAAGAUGAAAGUCCCCACAUUGACGAUAUGACUGCAGAGACCUCUUCAACUACACCAGAUCCCAACGAUAAGCAGUCAUCAUUUGAAAAUGGAGGCGCUGGAUUGAAAGAUGAAGAUACUGAUGAUUAUGAGGGUGAUUAUGAGGAUGAUGAUGAUAUGUUAUUCAUACCUAUAACUAUUUCCGACGUUACAUUUGAAGAUCAAGAUCAAGAGAGCCAAGAAAAAGAUGGGCUAGAUGGUGGAGAAACAGAAGACCAAGAAAGACAGUGUGAUCCAAAUCCAAACCACUAUCCAAAAUCAGUACUAGCUUGUGGUUCUAGACAAAUGAAAAAGUUUGACACAAUUGAAAGCUUUUUAAAAGAUGUGAAUUCUAAGAAAAUACAGGUGAAAUUGGUUGGCACACCUGCAUUUGAAAUUGACUCUGAGGGAGAAGGUUGGUGUCAUACACCUCAUAACAGGAGACAGUCUUCAGACAGCUGUGAAACUGACGACAGUUGUGAUUACCCAUUCGAUUCAGAUAAAAAACAGUUACCACUGUCCAGGAGUUUGUUUGUAAAGGGUAUUUCGAAUAAAAAAGAAAUAAUAAUAAUUCAAUCUGACUCUGAAGAUGAUGUUGAGCAAAAGAAGCCAAAAAGGAAGAAACUUUUCGCUUCCAGCUCAGAGGACAGCGACAGUUCCACAUGUAGUCACCCAAAGACACAUUCAUCCGAAACUGAAGGCAGUCAAUGUGAAACUUCAGAAGAAAACUCUACAAAAAAACGACGGUUAUCUGCAGACUCGCCAACACGCCAAUCUAAAUGCCAUGAUGCACCGUUCGAAGAAGGGAUGCAGAAUGCAUGCUCUGACCUGUUGCACAGUGAAGAAAUGAAUGGGCAGCUGGGUGGCUCCACCGAGAGUGUAAUAGUCAUUGAUUCUGACACAGAGGACGAAAAUACAUUCAUCUGUUCAGGGUCGGACGACAGCGAUCGCCGAUGUGUUGAACAGAAAAUACAGUCCCCUUUAACUGUGAAAAGUGGUAAUGGUUCUGCUAAAGACAUUCUUCAAGAAGUCAGACAGUCUUCUGCAGACUUAUCGCAGUCACUGAACCAGUCAAUGCUUCAUGAUGCACCACAGAAGACAAACGGACAUGAUUCUGAUGUGAUAAAGAAAAGACAUUAUCAAAAACGCAGGGUAAAGUCUAAAAGAAUAGUCUCAUCAGAAUCAGAGGAAAGUGAUGAUGAAACUGUGGACAGUCUUUGUGGAGCUGCUAAUGAAAAGUCAAAAAAUAACAGUUUGUCUUCCAAGGAUCCAAAAGAUAAGCAACCCCAGUCUUUGAACAAGAAGGCCAACUCAACUUCAGGUUCAAAAUCUGUGAUUCCUCGCUCAGUUGUUGAAAAGCCUAAUCAACAUCAUAAACUCUUUAAAGCAUCUAACAACGACCGACAGGUUAAAGAUUGCAAUCCAAAGUCCUCCACAGCAUCCAGUAAAAAGACUGACUCUGUCGAUAAAAAUACAUUGGAUUUGCCCAAACCAAAACGUGCAAACGAUGGACCACAUACAACAAAGCAUAGCGUUCAGGUCAAUGAUAAAAAAAACACAUUAUUUUCAAGACAACAUUCCUUACCGGGCCAGAAAUGCACAUCCACCUCGGUCAGUGAAAAACAUUCUAAAGCCAGACGAAGCUCAGCCGGCUCGAGAGAUUUAUCUCCAUCUGGAGAAACACCGGCGUCCUCUAAUCAUCCUGCUUCCAAACAGACCAUAUAUACUCCCAGACAUAAUUUGUCUACGUUAAGACUACGGUGCUCUGUCUCUUGUGAUGAAAGGUCAACGAUGAACCAUCCUGUCAAUCCCACAAAAUGCCCUUCACCAACUUCUGCAACAAUGGAAACAUCAGCAAGGAAACGGUUGACAAAAGAAAUGGAGCUCUUUAUCCCAAUUGGAAACGAGUUGGGUAAGAAACUAAAAAAGACAAAAUCCACCCUGGGAAUGGAGGAUGACGUGACAACCGGGACUUUGCCUAGUCGACAUAACAGGGCACCCAUACAGAGGCAAAACUCCAAGUCUGCAACCCCCCUUAUGAAAAGGACCAAGUUUGAUGCAGUACAGUUGACAAAAGCUAGGAUCCGGGAUACCCCAAAGGAACAAGAUAACUACGAUUGUAAAGGUUACAAAUGGUCAGAGAAGCCAACAGUGACAAAGCCAAUACAAGGUUUAAGCAGGAAGAGAAAGAUGUGUAGAUCUCAUCCAAGUUCCCGCUAGUGAGAAAAAGGAUGGCAGUGUCUACCAAUGCAAAUCAAGUUUUUCUCACUCCCUAAAGGACAGGUGGCUGAUUCGGGAAGCAGCAGUUCUGGAUUUUGAGCUUGUCUAUGUGGGAACUGUAUAUACAUUUGUUUGCUUGUUGUCAGAUGUUAUUGUUACUGGCUUCCUAAAGCUAUUUUAUAUUAUUUUAUACAUUUUUAUUUUGCAUAUUUUGUACUUUGAUAACCCACUUAUGUUCCUAUGGGCGAGUUUGUAUCUUUCUGUUUUUUAAAAUAUGACUGUAUACAAAACCUUAAAUUAAUACAUUUCUCAAUUUGUCUUGCAGUACUUAUUUUUCGACACUAGAGGGAGACAAUGUUUUAUAUACUGCACAAACAGCACCAGUGCCCGUUCAACCAUAUGAUGAGGGGCAGCAGUGAGAGAAGCUAUGUUGCAACCUAUUUAUAAACAUGGUUAUGUGUUGAUGAA